CCUACGGGUGGCAGCAGUGGGGAAUAUUGCGCAAUGGGCGCAAGCCUGAUCCAGCAACGCCGCGUGAAGGAAGAAGGCUUUCGGGUUGUAAACUUCUUUUCUCAGGGACGAAGAAAGUGACGGUACUUGAGGAAUAAGCCACGGCUAACUACGUGCCAGCAGCCGCGGUAAUACGUAGGUGGCAAGCGUUAUUCGGAUUUAUUGGGUGUAAAGGGCGUGUAGGCGGGAGUGCAAGUCAGCUGUGAAAACUCAGGGCUCAACCCUGGGCCUGCAUUUGAAACUGGGUGUCUUGAGUGCUGGAGAGGCAAUCGGAAUUCCGGGUGUAGCGGUGAAAUGCGUAGAUAUACGGAGGAACACCAGUGGCGAAGGCGGAUUGCUGGACAGUAACUGACGCUGAGGCGCGAAAGCGUGGGGAGCAAACAGGAUUAGAUACCCGUGUAGUC
rnacentral:rRNA from 1 species